rnacentral:rRNA from 1 species
CCUACGGGUGGCAGCAGUGGGGAAUAUUGCACAAUGGGGGAAACCCUGAUGCAGCGAAGCCGCGUGAGUGAAGAAGUAUUUCGGUAUGUAAAGCUCUAUCAGCAGGGAAGGAAUAGCGACCUUUGGGUCGCCAGACGGUACCUGACUAAGAAGCCCCGGCUAACUACGUGCCAGCAGACGCGGUAAUAUGUAGGGGGCCAGCGUUAUCCGGAUUUACUGGGUGUAAAGGGAGUGUACACGGCAAGACAAGGCUGAAGUUAAAUGCCGGGGCUUAACCCCGGAACUGCUGUGGAAACUGUGCAGCUAGAGUGCAGGAGAGGUACGUGGAAUUCGUGGUGUAGCGGUGAAAUGCGUAGAUAUUAGGCAGAACACCAGUUGCGAAGGCAGCUUACUGGAGUGCAACUGACGUUGAGGCUCGAAAGCGUGGGGAGCAAACAGGAUUAGAUACCCCGGUAGUC